rnacentral:rRNA from 1 species
GGUGCCAGAAGACUCGGUAAGGCCAGAGACGCAAGCGUUAAUCAUCUUGAUCAGGCGUAAAGGGUUUGUAGGCAGCUUUAAAAUAAUUAAAGAUUGAAUCAAAUAGAAGUCAAGAGAAUUCCUAGAGUAGGGUUGACAUCUGUAAAGCCUAGGAAGAAUACUAAUUAGCGAAGGCACUUUUCUAUCUAAUGAUUGACGCUGAGAAACGAAGGGGAGGAUCGACAAUAGGAUUAGAUACCCUGGCAUCCCUCUCUGUAAACGAUGAAUGGUAGUUGCUAGUUAUAAUAAUUAGUGGCGAUGCUAACGCGUUAACCAUUCCGCCUUGUGAGUACGACUGCAAAGUUGAAAACAAAAAAAUUAGUCGGUUUCGGAGCAA